rnacentral:rRNA from 1 species
AGUGAACGCUGGCGGCAGGCCUAACACAUGCAAGUCGAACGGCAGCACAGCAGUAGCAAUACUGUGGGUGGCGAGUGGCGGACGGGUGAGGAAUACAUCGGGAUCUACCUUUUCGUGGGGGAUAACGUAGGGAAACUUACGCUAAUACCGCAUACGCCCUGCGGGGGAAAGCGGCGGACCGCAAGGCGUCGCGCGAUGAGAUGAACCGAUGUCCGAUUAGCUAGUUGGCGGGGUAAAGGCCCACCAAGGCGACGAUCGGUAGCUGAUCUGAGAGGAUGAUCAGCCACACUGGAACUGAGACACGGUCCAGACUCCUACGGGAGGCAGCAGUGGGGAAUAUUGGACAAUGGGCGCAAGCCUGAUCCAGCCAUGCCGCGUGGGUGAAGAAGGCCUUCGGGUUGUAAAGCCCUUUUGCCCGGAAAGAAAAGCACGGGAUUAAUACCCUCGUGUGAUGACGGUACCGGAAGAAUAAGCACCGGCUAACUUCGUG